ACUCCUACGGGAGGCAGCAGUGGGGAAUAUUGCACAAUGGGGGAAACCCUGAUGCAGCCAUGCCGCGUGUGUGAAGAAGGCCUUCGGGUUGUAAAGCACUUUCAGUAGGGAGGAAGGUAGUGUAGUUAACACCUGCAUUAUUUGUACGUUACCUACAGAAGAAGCACCGGCUAACUCCGUGCCAGCAGCCGCGGUAAGUACGGAGGGUGCGAGCGUUAAUCGGAAUUACUGGGCGUAAAGCGCAUGCAGGCGGCCUGUUAAGUCAGAUGUGAAAGCCCGGGGCUUAACCUCGGAAUUGCAUUUGAAACUGGCAGGCUAGAGUCUUGUAGAGGGGUUAGAAUUUCAGGUGUAGCGGUGAAAUGCGUAGAGAUCUGAAGGAAUACCGAGUGGCGAAGGCGGCCCCU
rnacentral:rRNA from 1 species